GACGAACGCUGGCGGCGUGCUUAACACAUGCAAGUCGAACGGAAAGGCCCUGCUUUUGUGGGGUGCUCGAGUGGCGAACGGGUGAGUAACACGUGAGUAACCUGCCCUUGACUUUGGGAUAACUUCAGGAAACUGGGGCUAAUACCGGAUAGGAGCUCCUGCUGCAUGGUGGGGGUUGGAAAGUUUCGGCGGUUGGGGAUGGACUCGCGGCUUAUCAGCUUGUUGGUGGGGUAGUGGCUUACCAAGGCUUUGACGGGUAGCCGGCCUGAGAGGGUGACCGGCCACAUUGGGACUGAGAUACGGCCCAGACGCCUACGGGAGGCAGCAGUGGGGAAUAUUGCACAAUGGGCGGAAGCCUGAUGCAGCAACGCCGCGUGCGGGAUGACGGCCUUCGGGUUGUGAACCGCUUUCGCCUGUGACGAAGCGUGAGUGACGGUAAUGGGUAAAGAAGCACCGGCUAACUACGUG
rnacentral:rRNA from 1 species